rnacentral:lncRNA from 1 species
CCACUGAUCACUUGCUAUGCCAAUAAUGACAAACAGGCUUAAUCUCAGAACAACGCUGAUGGAUCGGUAGUGUUUGUCUGGAAUGCUGUAUUGAGAAUGAUUCUGAGUUCUGAUCUGUCUUCUGUAGCAAGGAGUAUUGGGAUCGAUUCAGGGAUAUUGGCUACGAGCAUGACUGGGGCAAAGGUCCGCAGUUACACACAUACUCAGAACCACCAUACUGUGCCACACUCCAGCCCAGGGCUAGUUAGGGGAGGAGACAAAGGACAUUACUCCUGAUACUCACCGAGGGUGGUUGGGAGAGAAGAGCUGGCCAUGGUUAGGGGGCAAGGGUGGGAUUUGGGAGAUGAGGGCUUGGCCUGGGCAGUCCCUGUCAUUCUGUCUGGAAAAGCAUUAACGAUUUGGAUGCUAGUGAACCUUUUUCUGCUCUGAGUCCUGCCGUGUUUUACACCGUGUCCUGGUCCCUUAGGUCCUGGUUACUGUGCCCAAUAAGUGAAAGCUUUCCUGGGUCAUCCGCUGAAAUGCUGGGAAGUCCAAAGAGUGGGAAGCUGUUGGGUGAGAGAGGAAGUGUCAGAACAUCAGAUCAGCCUGACUUGGUUGCGAGAGACGGCAGAGGAGCAAAUCUGCCUUCCCGGAGGAAAAACAUCACCGGCCAUCGGUGGAGGGAAUUUGGCUUUUGGUUCCUAACCGGAGAAGACAGCUACCUGUCAAAUGGCGUGGAGUCGACUGGGGAGCCAGUGUGGCUAUGUUCCCACUUAGCGAUGUUUGGUUUUCUCUCCAGAAAUGGACUUUAUUUCCUCUAAAUUCGUAUUGUAGCUCAUCUCAGAUUAAUAAAGUUUUCUCUAUUAAAGGAGGUCCUUAGAGU